ACUCCUACGGGAGGCAGCAAUUAGGAAUCUUGCACAAUGGGCGAAAGCCUGAUGCAGCGACGCCGCGUGACUGAUGAAGUCCUUCGGGAUGUAAAAGUCUUUUCUGGGGGAAGAAGGACGUGACGGUACCCCAGGAAUAAGCCCCGGCUAACUACGUGCCAGCAGCCGCGGUAAUACGUAGGGGGCGAGCGUUGUCCGAAUUUACUGGGCGUAAAGCGCGCGUAGGCGGGUUUUUAAGUUGGUGGUGAAAUCCCGAGGCUCAACCUCGGAACUGCCUCCAAAACUGGGAACCUUGAGGUAUGGAGAGGGAAGUGGAAUUCCAGGUGUAGCGGUGAAAUGCGUAGAUAUCUGGAGGAACACCCGUGGCGAAGGCGGCUUCCUGGUCAUAUCCUGACGCUGAGGUGCGAAAGCUAGGGGAGCGAACGGGAUUAGAUACCCCGGUAGUCCUAGCCGUAAACGAUGGAUACUAGGUGUUAGAGGUAUCGACCCCUCUAGUGCCGAAGCUAACGCAUUAAGUAUCCCGCCUGGGGAGUACGACCGCAAGGUUGAAACUCAAAGGAAUUGACGGGGGCCCGCACAAGCGGUGGAGCAUGUGGUUUAAUACGUCAUUAACCGUAGAACCUUACCCAGGUUUGACAUCUGGGGAAUCCUGGUGAAAGCCGGGAGUGCUUAGUAAUAAGAACCCCAAGACAGGUGUUGCAUGGCUGUCGUC
rnacentral:rRNA from 1 species